UAAGGGUUUGAGAGUUUCGAAGACUUUAUGAGACACAAGUGUUGCAGUAUCAAUUGUGUGAGGUUGUCUCUCUUGACAGUUUGUACUCUCUUUUAUAUAGUGGAUUGCUAAUCUCCUUUUGUGUAUGUAGGUCGAUUGACCGAAACACGUUAAAUUAUUGUGUCUCUUUUGGUGUAUUUCUCGUUUGUCUUCUUAUUUGGCGUCUUUCGAGGUUUGCUUUACCAGUUUCUACAUGACACCUAAUUAUUUCGGUCCUGUCAAGUGGUAUUAGAGCAAGGUUAAAAUCGGGUGUUCAUCUUGGCAAAUUCAAUUCUAGUUGCAACCUAUUUGAGGAUAAUGAAGAUUUUAGUUUGAGAAAUUUUAUCAGAGUGUUACUCUGUGUAGAGGAAAGAAUUAAUGGAGGAGAUUUUGGAGAUGAAGAUUGAACUUAUUGAAGACUACAAGAAAAAGGUGGAGCAAAUUUAUUUUUUGAAAUUCUGGCCAAGGAAAAUAAUUGUUGGUGUUUGUCCCGACUUUCUUACCAUAAUUAGGUUUUCCUUUAGGUACCAUAAUUGGAUUUUCCUUUUAGGAAAAGGAAAACAUAUUCUCCAUAUUUGGCUAAUCCUUAUUCUUGUAGGAAACGGUUAUAGACUCUAUAAAUAGAGACUCAUUUCUUCUAGUUUUGUAGCAUCCAUAAUGUAGUCCUAGGAUUUUGAGAGUUUCGUUUGAGGGGAG
rnacentral:lncRNA from 1 species